rnacentral:rRNA from 1 species
AGUGGCGGACGGGUGAGUAACACGUAAGAAUUUGCCUUUAGGAGGGGGACAACAACUAGAAAUGGUUGCAAAUACCCCAUAUGCUUUCGAGUGAAAUGGAUUUUUCCGCCUAGAGAGAAGCUUGCGGCUGAUUAGCUUGUUGGUGAGGUAAUGGCUCACCAAGGCGACGAUCAGUAUCUGGUUUGAGAGGACGAUCAGACACACUGGAACUGAGACACGGUCCAGACUCCUACGGGAGGCAGCAGUGGGGAAUUUUCCGCAAUGGGCGAAAGCCUGACGGAGCAAUACCGCGUGAGGGAUGACGGCCUAUGGGUUGUAAACCUCUUUUUUCAGGGAGGAAUCAAUGACGUGUACCUGAAGAAUAAGCAUCGGCUAACUCCGUGCCAGCAGCCGCGGUAAGACGGGGGAUGCAAGUGUUAUCCGGAAUCACUGGGCGUAAAGCGUCUGUAGGUGGUCCAAUAAGUCAACUGUUAAAUCUUGAGGCUCAACCUCAAAAUCGCAGUCGAAACUAUUAGACUAGAGUAUAGUAGGGGUAAAGGGAAUUUCCAGUGGAGCGGUGAAAUGCGUAGAGAUUGGAAAGAACACCGAUGGCGAAGGCACUUUACUGGGCUAUUACUAACACUCAGAGACGAAAGCUAGGGUAGCAAAUGGGAUUAGAUACCCCAGUAGUCCUAGCCGUAAACAAUGGAUACUAGAUGUU